GAUGAAGAACGUAGCGAAAUGCGAUAAGUAAUGUGAAUUGCAGAAUUCAGUGAAUCAUCGAGUCUUUGAACGCACAAUGCGCCCCCUGGUAUUCCGGGGGGCAUGCCUGUCCGAGCGUCAUUGCUGCCCUCAAGCACGGCUUGUGUGUUGGGCCGUCGUCCCCCUCCUAGGGGACGGGCCCGAAAGGCAGCGGCGGCACCGCGUCCGGUCCUCGAGCGUAUGGGGCUUCGUCACCCGCUCCGUAGGCCCGGCCGGCGCUUGCCGACGACCAUCAAUCUCUUUCUCCAGGUUGACCUCGGAUCAGGUAGGGAUACCCGCUGAACUUAAGCAUAUCAAUAAGCGGAGGA
rnacentral:misc_RNA from 1 species